rnacentral:rRNA from 1 species
GGGGGAACCNUGACCAGCACGCCGCGUUGGAGGGAAGAAGGCCUUCGGGGUCGUAAACCUCUGUCAGGAGGGAAGAAAAGGCCGCGAUCUAACAGGUUGCGGUUUUGACGGUACCUCCAGAGGAAGCACCGGCUAACUCCGUGCCAGCAGCCGCGGUAAUA